rnacentral:misc_RNA from 1 species
ACAAACUUGGUCAUUUAGAGGAAGUAAAAGUCGUAACAAGGUCUCCGUAGGUGAACCUGCGGAGGGAUCAUUACAGAGUUCGCGCCCUGAAUCAGGGUAGAUCUCCCACCCCCUGUGUAUUUUCUUACCUGUGUUGCUUUGGCGGGUCGCCCGGGUCGUCGCCCUCGCGAAGCCUGGCCACCGGCUUCUCUAGGGAGCUGGUGCGUGCCUGCCAGAGGCUCCCAAAACUCUUGUUUGUUAGUGUCGUCUGAGUGUCAUUGCAAAUCGUUAAAACUUUCAACAACGGAUCUCUUGGUUCUGGCAUCGAUGAAGAACGCAGC